GGGGGCGAAAUGGUAUCGACUGGCUGAGUUACGCUUAUAUUGCAUGUGGAGGAUGGUCGUUGGCCUCCUAAAUCAUCGACCGAACGUAUAAUUGCCAAUACUGAAAUGGCUCUUGCGGCUUAACUGACUGCAUCGCGUUCACCCUGACGUCCGAUACGGGAUGAAGGCGUCCUUAAUCGGACUUACCUCAAGCCGAGCUUUCGCGGUGCGAGGAACAACAACAGGAAGAUAGUCUCGAAGCUGGCCCCGUUCGCUGGCAUGUGGAGGGACGAUAAACAACGAAGGCGAACUAAACAUGUAGACGUGUAAGUAGUGCUUAACUAGGACCCGGGUUCGACUCCCGGCGCCUCCACCG
rnacentral:tmRNA from 1 species